rnacentral:rRNA from 1 species
ACAGUUUGAUCCUGGCUCAGGACGAACGCUGGCGGCGUGCCUAAUACAUGCAAGUAGAACGCUGAAGUCUGGUGCUUGCACUAGACGGAUGAGUUGCGAACGGGUGAGUAACGCGUAGGUAACCUGCCUCAUAGCGGGGGAUAACUAUUGGAAACGAUAGCUAAUACCGCAUAACAGUAUUUACCGCAUGGUAGAUAUUUGAAAGGAGCAAUUGCUUCACUAUGAGAUGGACCUGCGUUGUAUUAGCUAGUUGGUGAGGUAACGGCUCACCAAGGCUUCGAUACAUAGCCGACCUGAGAGGGUGAUCGGCCACACUGGGACUGAGACACGGCCCAGACUCCUACGGGAGGCAGCAGUAGGGAAUCUUCGGCAAUGGGGGCAACCCUGACCGAGCAACGCCGCGUGAGUGAAGAAGGUUUUCGGAUCGUAAAGCUCUGUUGUAAGAGAAGAACUGUGAGAAGAGUGGAAAGUUUCUCACUUGACGGUAUCUUACCAGAAAGGGACGGCUAACUACGUGCCAGCAGCCGCGGUAAUACGUAGGUCCCGAGCGUUGUCCGGAUUUAUUGGGCGUAAAGCGAGCGCAGGCGGUUUGAUAAGUCUGAAGUAAAAGGCUGUGGCUUAACCAUAGUACGCUUUGGAAACUGUCAAACUUGAGUGCAGAAGGGGAGAGUGGAAUUCCAUGUGUAGCGGUGAAAUGCGUAGAUAUAUGGAGGAACACCGGUGGCGAAAGCGGCUCUCUGGUCUGUAACUGACGCUGAGGCUCGAAAGCGUGGGGAGCGAACAGGAUUAGAUACCCUGGUAGUCCACGCCGUAAACGAUGAGUGCUAGGUGUUGGGUCCUUUCCGGGACUCAGUGCCGCAGCUAACGCAUUAAGCACUCCGCCUGGGGAGUACGACCGCAAGGUUGAAACUCAAAGGAAUUGACGGGGGCCCGCACAAGCGGUGGAGCAUGUGGUUUAAUUCGAAGCAACGCGAAGAACCUUACCAGGUCUUGACAUCCCGAUGACCGCCCUAGAGAUAGGGUUUCUCUUCGGAGCAUCGGUGACAGGUGGUGCAUGGUUGUCGUCAGCUCGUGUCGUGAGAUGUUGGGUUAAGUCCCGCAACGAGCGCAACCCCUAUUGUUAGUUGCCAUCAUUCAGUUGGGCACUCUAGCGAGACUGCCGGUAAUAAACCGGAGGAAGGUGGGGAUGACGUCAGAUCAUCAUGCCCCUUAUGACCUGGGCUACACACGUGCUACAAUGGCUGGUACAACGAGUCGCAAGUCGGUGACGGCAAGCUAAUCUCUUAAAGCCAGUCUCAGUUCGGAUUGUAGGCUGCAACUCGCCUACAUGAAGUCGGAAUCGCUAGUAAUCGCGGAUCAGCACGCCGCGGUGAAUACGUUCCCGGGCCUUGUACACACCGCCCGUCACACCACGAGAGUUUGUAACACCCGAAGUCGGUGAGGUAACCUUUUAGGAGCCAGCCGCCUAAGGUGGGAUAGAUGAUUGGGGUGAAGUCGUAACAAGGGAGCC